GUGCCCGUAGCUCAGUUGGAUAGAGCAUCAGCCUUCUAAGCUGAGGGUCGUGAGUUCGAGUCUCGCCGGGCACGCCA
rnacentral:tRNA from 1 species